rnacentral:tRNA from 1 species
GCCGGGGUGGCGGAACAGGCAGACGCACAGGACUUAAAAUCCUGCGGGAGUCAAAUCCCAUACCGGUUCGAUUCCGGUUCCCGGCA